rnacentral:rRNA from 1 species
UUGCCCAUUAAUUGUGGGCUAGAAUGAAAGGAACUACGAAAAAGAACUAUUUAAUAAUAUUAAAAUAACUAUUCUAAAGUGAAGAAACUUUUAUAACAUUAAAGGACAAGAAGACCCUAUAGAGCUUUAUCUUACCUAGUAUUUUACUACUACAGAUCGGUUGGGGCGACCCAGGAUAAAUCAUCUAAUUAAAUAAUUAUAAAUAAACUACGAUCCUAUCAUAAUUACAAUAAGCUACCUUAGGGAUAACAGGCUAAUUUCAUUAAAGAGCUCCUAUCAACAAUGAAAUUGGCACCUCG